UCUUUGCUUAACAGUCUCUCCUACUCCAGUUUUCUUUUGGUAGUUUCUUGGCAUCUUUAUGGGAAUCCCUACUUCUUGACUCCAUGGACCUCAUGAGAGUGACACGUGGGUCAGAUAAAGGAGAACAUACCAGGGAGCACAGGGGAUUGGCAGGCAGCUCUUUAAUGUUCUGAACAAAGCAAAAUUCCCAGUCAACGUUGGAUAGAAAAAGAAAAAGAGACUUCUCCAAAGAAGAAACGGAAAUGGCCAUAGACAUGUGAAAAAAUGUUCGACAUCACUAAUUAUCAGGAAAAUGCAAAUCAAAACCUCGAGGAGAUACUACCUCACUCCAGUGAAAAUUGCCCACAUUAAAAAAAAUCUAGAAAGAACAAAUAUGGAAGUAUGUGGAGAUAAAGGAAGCUUCUUACACUGCUGGUGGGAACUAAACUCUCCAGUCACUCUGGAAAGCUGGGUAGAGGAACCCUAAAAACACUAAAACUGGAUCUACCCUUUGAUCCAGCAAUUACACUCCUAGGGAUCUACCCAAAGGACAUUAAAAAACUAAAUCGAAUGGAACCUGCACACCCAUGCUUUUUACAACAUUAUUUACAAUAACCCAGUUAUGGAAAUGCCCCAAAAUAGACAAAUGGAACAAGAAGACGUGAUAUAUUUACACAGUGGACUAUGACUCGGCAGUCAAAAAGGAAAACUUGUGCCUCUUGUGGCAACAUGGACGGAGCUGGAGAGCAUUAUGCCAGCCAAAGACCUCCCCUGUGGUGCAGUGGAUUGAGCACAGUGAUAUGAAGCUGUCCACAGUCUAUGCAGUGCGGGUUCGAUUCCCAUCAAGCCAGGGAGAAACCCACAUGGCGCAGUAGACCUCGUCUUCCUCCCCCGCUGCUCCCCUCAGCAGUGUCUUCGGUCCAUGUGCCUGUUCCCCACUCUGUCUCUGACAACGGCUUUGUCAAGAAUCUACACAUCUGGGAGAUCUGUUUUAACUUGACACUUUCAAAAUUAGUCCUGGAGCUGUGCAUUGUAAAGAGAGGAAAUAUGACACCUGUGGCAGUGGACUUGGAUGUCAAGACCCAGCAGAGUUGCACUUACAAAGGAAAUGAAGCAUUUGGAUUUAGAUAGUAGUUUUAUUGGUGACGUUAUAUCUGCAUUAAAAGUCAGAUGAUUAAACUCUAAUUUGACCAUAUAUUUCUACAGCCUCUAAGGGGAACACAAUCUGCCUAAGAACAGGAUGCUGCCAGAGGAGUUGUGACGAAUCAUGAAGAUGAAUGGGUGGUCGGCAACGAAAUUUUGCUCUAUCCCAGAUUUACGCAUGAAUAUGCCAACUGUGAUGGCCACUGCCUCUGUGCCCUCCUCAUUCACCUCCACAAAGGACUUGUGAAUCAUUUUUGAUAUGAAAAUAUCUGUGGUAUCUGUCAUGCCAGACAGAUCCGCCUUGCUGCUGCUAAAGAGAUCUUCCACACCCAUGCGAGCCAGGUGGGAGCUGAGAUCAUAGGUCUCCUCCAGCUUGAAUUUGGGCAAGUGCACGUGGACAUCCCUAUGAACCAUAUUCUUGGGCUUGGUCCACUCAUGCAGUUUUUCCAAUGUCAACUGCUGCUCGAUCUGGAAUUAGAAUGUGCAAAGAGAAAACAAUUUUAUAUAGAGAACAGAUGAAGGUGGAAAACAACUGAAAGAGGGACAUGCUGAUAUUUCCAUCCUCUAUAUAUGCAAAUAGAUACUACAUUAGGAUCCCCUCCAGACUGCAACUUUGAUGCGGGUCUCAUUCACUUAGAGAUGUUUCCGUUAAGUGGGGUCAUAGAGGCUUUGCACCUGGAAAGGUCCAUAACCCUGACCCCAGGGCUGGCCGUCCCGGCUGCAGCAGGUCUGCACAUGCAAAGCUGACCCAGGAAAUGCCUAGUCCCGGAGGACAACUGAGACCACAGAGCCAGGGUAAGAACACUUUCCAGAGCACACCAACGUGGAUCCAGGGACGGCCCGAGAAGUGAUGAUCUCCACUUUCCGACACGUCUGAGCCUGCAGACAGCUGAGCCAGGAGCAGCGUGCACCCGAAAGUAAGAAGGUGUCCACUCUAGAACCACAGCCACCUCCAAUGCAUUAAAGCAAAAGUCAUCAAAGCAGUGAUGUCACUCUGGGAAGACACCAGCAGACAUGUGUGUGAAUGUGAGACAUGCUCAGCACACCCUUCUUGGAAUGACACCGGACCCGGAAAGCUCAUAGCGCCAGUCAUGAAGGAUGCAUAAUGAAUACAGCCGGAUAACAAGUGACAAUAGAAAAGUAUGGACCACAGCAUUAUCUAGCCCCACACAGCUGAAUUCCACACAAUGUUCAUAUUUGAACAAUGUGUGAUUUCUCCUCUCAGGUAUAAUCCCCAUAAAA